CCAUCCUCACAGGAAAUAAGUGUUUUUUGUGUUCAAGUGGAAUUUCCUAUGUUUCAGUUGUGCCCUUUGCCUCUUGUCCUGCAACUGGGCACCACUGAGAGUAGUCUGUCCCCUUCCUCUUUACAUCUUCCCUU